CCUACGGGUGGCUGCAGUGGGGAAUAUUGCGCAAUGGGCGAAAGCUUGACGCAGCAACGCCGCGUGAGUGAUGAAGGCCUUCGGGUCGUAAAGCUCUGUCAGGAGGAGCGAACACCCGGCAGGAACAAUACCCUGUCGGUUUGACGGUACCUCCAGAGGAAGCACCGGCUAACUCCGUGCCAGCAGCCGCGGUAAUACGGAGGGUGCUAGCGUUGUUCGGAAUUACUGGGCGUAAAGCGCGUGUAGGCGGAUCCAGAAGUCGGGUGUGAAAGCCCUGGGCUUAACCCAGGAAGUGCGCCCGAAACCAUGGGUCUCGAGGUCCGGAGGGGAUCGGGGAAUUCCCAGUGUAGAGGUGAAAUUCGUAGAUAUUGGGAGGAACACCGGUGGCGAAGGCGCCGAUCUGGACGGAUUCUGACGCUGAGACGCGAAAGCGUGGGUAGCAAACAGGCUUAGAUACCCCAGUAGUC
rnacentral:rRNA from 1 species